rnacentral:lncRNA from 1 species
CGUUUCCAACCUUGGAGGAGAUGUGGCACGGCCACGGAACAACGCUGUGAAUCCGGCAUUGCGCUCGGCACUUUGGCAUAUCAUCCUGGCAACAAACACCAACGAUAACACAACUCAGGCGGAAUAUGAAAAGUUUGCGAGGCAGAUCACGCAUGCAAACAAGUUGCUACCGGGUUCAGGAGCUUACAUGAACGAAGCCGAUUUCAACGAACCGAACUGGCAACAAUCCUUCUUUGGAGAGAACUAUCCUCGCUUGCUUGACAUAAAGGACAAGUACGAUCCAACUGGUCUGUUUGUGUGCCACCAGUGCGUUGGGAGCGAGAAAUGGAGCAAUGAUCUCAACUGCAAACUGAAAUAAAUAGAAAUAAAAACAGUAGCCCCCUUUGAAUCCAUCUUACGUUGUCUUCUGUUGUCAGUUAGAAACAGAGCUCAUCUCCUCACGAUCUCUUCUCGUUUUGUUCCGGUCGAGAAAGAAAUUGUCGCUCUGCGUAAAACUACGAAGGGUUUUAAACCAAGCCAGCCAGCCAGGUUUUUUCUGUUCCAUUUGAAACAAAGGUACGAUUCUCACGAUAGUAGGCUGAAAAAACGAAAAAAAAAAAGUUCCAUCCAGAGUGAGCAACAACCAGAGACAAGUUGCUACCUUAGGCGGAUAGUAGACAAGCUUGAGAUGAUCCAAAUAUCUCCAGAAAUCGCUAUUGGUUUUUGAGGCAGCUCUGGAUCCUCGAGUGCGCCGUGGAGUCAUGGAGCGCUUGCGUGAGUAUCUGAGAUGCCAGGAAGAGAAGUGCAAUAUCGUCCGCGACCGCAAGAACUUCUGGAUGCCCGAUGCGUGAACGAAUAAAAAUAGAACUCAGAGCCAUUAGGUCGGUCGAUCAAGAAGGAACGAUGAAGCGAUCUAGGUGUAGGAAUCCACAGCACCUGCUGGAAGAGAGCAAGAGAGGGGACCAGGGCUUGGCGCCGAUGGCUUCAUACCGGUACUGGAAAUGCGGCGCCAGAGAAGG